rnacentral:rRNA from 1 species
GACGAACGCUGGCGGCGUGCCUAAUACAUGCAAGUCGAGCGGACAGAUGGGAGCUUGCUCCCUGAUGUUAGCGGCGGACGGGUGAGUAACACGUGGGUAACCUGCCUGUAAGACUGGGAUAACUCCGGGAAACCGGGGCUAAUACCGGAUGGUUGUUUGAACCGCAUGGUUCAAACAUAAAAGGUGGCUUCGGCUACCACUUACAGAUGGACCCGCGGCGCAUUAGCUAGUUGGUGAGGUAACGGCUCACCAAGGCAACGAUGCGUAGCCGACCUGAGAGGGUGAUCGGCCACACUGGGACUGAGACACGGCCCAGACUCCUACGGGAGGCAGCAGUAGGGAAUCUUCCGCAAUGGACGAAAGUCUGACGGAGCAACGCCGCGUGAGUGAUGAAGGUUUUCGGAUCGUAAAGCUCUGUUGUUAGGGAAGAACAAGUACCGUUCGAAUAG